CUUCUUUUUUUGUAUUUUGAAAUCAAUUUUGUUGUUAAUUUGUAAGGCUUCACAAAAUUUUGAAUACUUUUAAGUGGCAAGUGAUGAUAUUGCUUCACUAAAUUAAUUUUUUUAAGGGGUGGGUUCACUACAGUAGCUUGCUACUGGAACUCACACGUGUCAUCUUUGCGUUGCACUACAGCAAAGCUUGGCGCACCCUAC